AGUGAACGCUGGCGGCAGGCCUAACACAUGCAAGUCGAGCGGCAGCGCGUCCGACCACCCUCGGGUGGUCGGAUGGCGGCGAGCGGCGGACGGGUGAGGAAUGCAUCGGAAUCUGCCUCGUUGUGGGGGAUAACGUAGGGAAACUUACGCUAAUACCGCAUACGACCUACGGGUGAAAGUGGGGGACCUUCGGGCCUCACGCGAUGAGAUGAGCCGAUGCCGGAUUAGCUAGUUGGCGGGGUAAAGGCCCACCAAGGCGACGAUCCGUAGCUGGUCUGAGAGGAUGAUCAGCCACACUGGAACUGGGACACGGUCCAGACUCCUACGGGAGGCAGCAGUGGGGAAUAUUGGACAAUGGGGGCAACCCGUGAUCCAGCCAUGCCGCGUGUGUGAAGAAGGCCUUCGGUUGUAA
rnacentral:rRNA from 1 species